CAGUCGCCCGGUAAUACGUAGGUGGCAAGCGUUGUCCGGAAUUAUUGGGCGUAAAGGGCUCGCAGGCGGUUUCUUAAGUCUGAUGUGAAAGCCCCCGGCUCAACCGGGGAGGGUCAUUGGAAACUGGGAAACUUGAGUGCAGAAGAGGAGAGUGGAAUUCCACGUGUAGCGGUGAAAUGCGUAGAGAUGUGGAGGAACACCAGUGGCGAAGGCGACCCUCUGGUCUGUAACUGACGCUGAGGAGCGAAAGCGUGGGGAGCGAACAGGAUUAGAUACCCCCGUAGUCCCUGUCUCUUAUACC
rnacentral:rRNA from 1 species